GCAUCUAUGUGUGAACGUGCUUCCUGGCAAAUCCAGAUGUGAUGCAGAAAUCCUAAGUGAGGAUUUCCAGCACUGACUACAGGGGACACAGGCUUCUGAGAAUGGAACUGAUCUUGGCAGAAUAGCAGCUGUGAAGUGAAGCAGAACUAAAAUACAGGCACUGCCCAGGAUGGACAUCUGUGGUCUCAGACAGUGAUUCCCUAGGAAGAAGGGGAGCCUUUGUCUCACCUGCACAACCCAGGUGGAUGUGACAGAAUUGGUGUGGCCUGACAAGGCAUGAACAGCUCUCUGUGUUCUGGAAUGCCUUGAAACCUUUCUCUGUCAGGUUUUGGAGGGGUUUCUCUCUGGGAUUUCUUGUGAUGCAGCACCCCAGGUGGCCCUUUGUGCAAAGUCCAGCAGUAAAGGAUUGAAUAACAGCCAAGGGUCUGGGAUGAAAAUGGUUCUGUUAAAAUUAAGCAAAGAAUGCAAUAAGAAAAAUGAGCAUCUUUUUAAUGUCUGAAAUAGUUAGGUAUAAAAAUGGUGGAAAAAGGCACUUUUAUAUUUGAAUUGGUGUCACCUGUCAUGGAUAAAACCCCAUAAUGAGCAAUCAGAGCAGAAAUGUGAAAGCUGGGAUCCUUUGACUUCUGCAGUGGAUCUAAUUUUCUUUUUCUCCUCUCUUUCAGGACAAGAAAAAGCAUCACACUCCUCCUGUCUUUGCCAAAAGCUGUGGUGUUUGAGCACCCAAAGCCAAGAGGCUUCAGCACCAGGGCUCUUCCCUGGAGGGCUCCUGGUCCUACCCAUGCUGUGGGUAAGAAGAACAUGAACCCACAGCCGUUCAGGCCUGACAGUCCCCAGCAGCGAGAGCUCAGCACAACAUCCACAGAGGCAAGUCCAGCAUCUGAAAGAAAAGAAAAAACUGAGAAGAAAAAGGUAAUUUAUUUUGCUUCAAAGUUAUUUCAGGUUCUUAAAGCCCAACCAACAUUUGCUCUUGAUUUUGGUUGGGUGAAUCAUGAGCAGUGAGCAUAGGUCAUGCCAUUCAUUUAGCUGAAAACCCAGGGUCCCUCAUAGAGGGGACACAAGAACUGUUUGUGUAGGAAAAUGUGAGGGGAUGUCAAGGGGAGUGG